rnacentral:tRNA from 1 species
UUAGAGGUAUGCUCAGUAGUAGAGCAUUUGCCUAUUAUGCACAAGAGCUUAGGUUUAAUCCUUACCACAAAA